GACGAACGCUGGCGGCGUGCUUAACACAUGCAAGUCGAACGGUAAGGCCCUUCGGGUACGACGAGUGGCGAACGGGUGGAGUAACACGUGGGUGAUCUGCCCUGCACUUCGGGAUAAGCCUGGGAAACUGGGUCUAAUACCGGAUAGGACUCCUGGCUUCAUGGUUGGGGGUGUAAAGCUUUUGCGGUGUGGGAUGGGCCCGCGGCCUAUCAGCUUGUUGGUGGGGUAAUGGCCUACCAAGGCGACGACGGGUAGCCGGCCUGAGAGGGUGACCGGCCACACUGGGACUGAGAUACGGCCCGGACUCCUACGGGAGGCAGCAGUGGGGAAUAUUGCACAAUGGGCGCAAGCCUGAUGCAGCGACGCCGCGUGAGGGAUGACGGCCUUCGGGUUGUAACCUACUUCAAUAGGACGAAGCGCAAGUGACGGUACCUAUAGAAGAA
rnacentral:rRNA from 1 species